rnacentral:rRNA from 1 species
GACGAUCGCUGGCGGCGUGCUUAACACAUGCAAGUCGAACGGUGAAGCGCCUUCCUUUUUGGUGGGUGUGGAUGAGUGGCGAACGGGUGAGUAACACGUGAGUAACCUGCCCCCUUCUUCUGGAUAACCGCAUGAAAGUGUGGCUAAUACGGGAUAUUCUGGGUCUGUCGCAUGAUGGGUCUGGGAAAGAUAUUGUUUCGGUGGGGGAUGGGCUCGCGGCCUAUCAGCUUGUUGGUGGGGUGAUGGCCUACCAAGGCGGUGACGGGUAGCCGGCCUGAGAGGGUGGACGGUCACACUGGGACUGAGACACGGCCCAGACUCCUACGGGAGGCAGCAGUGGGGAAUAUUGCACAAUGGGCGCAAGCCUGAUGCAGCGACGCCGCGUGAGGGAUGGAGGCCUUCGGGUUGUGAACCUCUUUCGCCAGUGAAGCAGGCCUGCCUCGUUUGUGGGUGGGUUGACGGUAGCUGGAUAAGAAGCGCCGGCUAACUACGUG